AACGAACCGUGCGAACGUUGUUCGGAAUCACUGGGCUUAAAGGGCGCGUAGGCGGGCUGCCAAGUCAGGGGUGAAAGCCCACGGCUCAACCGUGGAAGUGCCUUUGAUACUGGCGGUCUCGAGGGAAGUAGGGGCGUGCGGAACUUCCGGUGGAGCGGUGAAAUGCGUAGAUAUCGGAAGGAACACCGGUGGCGAAAGCGGCGCGCUGGACCUCUACUGACGCUGAGGCGCGAAAGCCAGGGGAGCAAAGCGGG
rnacentral:rRNA from 1 species